AUUGAACGCUGGCGGCAGGCCUCACACAUGCAAGUCGAACGAGUGGCGGACGGGUGAGUAAUGUCUGGGAAACUGCCUGAUGGAGGGGGCUAACUACUGGACACGGUAGCUAAUACCGCAUCCCAUCGGAUGUGCCCAGAUGGGAUUAGCUAGUAGGUGGGGUAACGUCUCACCUAGGCGACGAUCCCUCGCUGGUCUGCUAGGAUGACCAGCCACACUGGAACUUAGACACGGUCCAGACUCCUACGUGAGGCAGCAGUGGGGAAUAUUGCACAAUGGGCGCAAGCAUGAUGCAGCCAUGCCGCGUGUAUGAAGAAGGCCUUCGGGUUGUAAAGUACUUUCAGCGGGGAGGCGUUACCCGCAGAAGAAGCACCGGCUAACGCCGUGCCAGCAGCCGCGGUAAUUC
rnacentral:rRNA from 1 species